GGCUCAGAUUGAACGCUGGCGGCAGGCCUAACACAUGCAAGUCGAACGGUAACAGGAAGCAGCUUGCUGCUUCGCUGACGAGUGGCGGACGGGUGAGUAAUGUCUGGGAAACUGCCUGAUGAGGGGGGAUAACUACUGGAAACGGUAGCUAAUACCGCAUAACGUCGCAAGACCAAAGAGGGGGACCUUCGGGCCUCUUGCCAUCAGAUGUGCCCAGAUGGGAUUAGCUAGUUGGUGGGGUAACGGCUCACCAAGGCGACGAUCCCCUAGCUGGUCUGAGAGGAUGACCAGCCACACUGGAACUGAGACACGGUCCAGACUCCUACGGGAGGCAGCAGUGGGGAAUAUUGCACAAUGGGCGCAAGCCUGAUGCAGCCAUGCCGCCGUGUAUGAAGAAGGCCUUCGGGUUGUAAAGUACUUUCAGCGGGGAGGAAGGUGUUGUGGUUAAUAACCGCAGCAAUUGACGUUACCCGCAGAAGAAGCACCGGCUAACUCCGUGCCAGCCGCCGC
rnacentral:rRNA from 1 species